rnacentral:snoRNA from 1 species
GCGGAUGAUUAUACAUUUUUAACCCUGAUCCCCAUGAAGAUCAAAAACGCAACAACAAACACUCUAAUUUUUUAAUGACG